rnacentral:lncRNA from 1 species
UGCUAGCUCUUUAACAAAAAGAAAAAGUAAUAGAAGACAAUUACCAUCUGGGCUAAGGUUUCACUUAGACAGGGGAGUCGACUGAGAAAAGAUAAAUGGUAGUUUAGAUAGUCUACGACUUGACACAAUGAACAAAUAACACAAGACUCAGUUCUACCUAUGAACUUGCAGAUAUCGAUGUAGUUGGUGCAAUCAGUGAGAACAUUUGGAACCUCUGUACAGAAGCUAUAGUUGUCCCCCUUUUUUUGCUUGUUAAGUGACAAUAUGAAACUACACAGUGCUUUUUUCUUAGAAGUAUUCAUCCUGUCCGAGUACACUAAAAAGUUAAACCUACUCCUGGAACUCUUCAAAUUAUUGUUCUAUAAGUUAAAAACUGCAGAUUCCAGACCGUGUAACUUCACUGAACUUUUUCGAUCUAAAAUUAUUCAGAUACUCUCCUCAUCAAAGUCCUUGGAGUCCUCAUUAACAUGCAAAUUCUAUUAGUCCCGAGUAUUAGUUUAGAUUGUGCUAAUUCACCAGAAUCUCAGCCCACACUAAAGCAUUUUAGCUUCACUUAAAUCCAACAAAUCAGACUUUCUCUAUCUAUGCGAUGUGCAAUAAGUUAUCAAAAGCUAACAUGACGAUAUCAUCAACAACAUGCAGGUAUUAAUCAACCGCAGUUUCAGCUAAUUAAAAUUUAGAAACCAGCAAGAAAUAACCAAAAGUCUCGGAUGAUAUGCAUGGUUAACCAAAAAAAUGUAGAUGGAAGACCAAAUAUUUAUGAAAAGGGAGUAAAUUAAGUUAAAAACAAAUGACAUAGGUGUUUAUCCUUCAAAAAAGAACAAAGGCGCAGCCACAUGCAGAUUGAAUCAAUAAUACUGCAGCUAGUACUAAAAUUAUCCAAUGGAAAUAACUACUUUUAAACACCACGUACGGUUACCACAUAUUUUUUACUUAUUAUCCAAUGCAAUUAACCGCUCAUUUAGUAAAAAUUGAUGAAUAGCGAAAGCCAAAGAAGGUAUAAGCUCACAUUAUUCAAAUGCUUUCUUGCAUCUUCUCGCAGUAAAUCGAUACGAUCCAGAGCAAGUACUAAUCCAAGCGCCGUAAUCAAAAGCACUUUGAGGACUGGCAUUGAUGCAGCGAUGAAGAGAUCCAAAAGCCCCAUCUCUUGUUGGAAAAUUGUGAAAUUACAGGCAGAAUAUUUCAAUUGAACCUCAAUUCUAAUCACACCAGCAAUCAAAACAAAAGGAAAAAAGAUAUAUAUAAAACAUGUAAGGAUGAAUUAAAAAACAGGACAGAAAGCAAAAGUUAACACGGCACAUGUGAAAAUGAAAA